AACGAACGCUGGCGGCAGGCCUAACACAUGCAAGUCGAACGCCGUAGCAAUACGGAGUGGCAGACGGGUGAGUAACACGUGGGAACGUACCUUUCGGUUCGGAAUAACUCAGGGAAACUUGAGCUAAUACCGGAUACGUGCGAGAGCAGAAAGAUUUAUCGCCGAAAGAUCGGCCCGCGUCCGAUUAGCUUGUUGGUGAGGUAACGGCUCACCAAGGCGACGAUCGGUAGCUGGUCUGAGAGGAUGAUCAGCCACACUGGGACUGAGACACGGCCCAGACUCCUACGGGAGGCAGCAGUGGGGAAUAUUGGACAAUGGGCGCAAGCCUGAUCCAGCCAUGCCGCGUGAGUGAUGAAGGCCUUAGGGUUGUAAACUUCUUUUGGAUGGGAACAAUAACUCCGACUUGUCGGAACUUGAGGGUACCAUCAGAAUAAGCACCGGCUAACUCCGUG
rnacentral:rRNA from 1 species